rnacentral:rRNA from 1 species
GAUGAACGCUAGCGAUAGGCUUAACACAUGCAAGUCGAGGGGCAGCAUGGUCUUAGCUUGCUAAGGCUGAUGGCGACCGGCGCACGGGUGCGUAACGCGUAUGCAACUUGCCUCACAGAGGGGGAUAACCCGUCGAAAGACGGACUAAUACCGCGUACACUCUAUGUUGGGCAUCCAAUGUAGAGGAAAUGAAAUUCGCUGUGAGAUAGGCAUGCGUCCCAUUAGCUAGUUGGUGAGGUAACGGCUCACCAAGGCGACGAUGGGUAGGGGAACUGAGAGGUUGAACCCCCACACUGGUACUGAGACACGGACCAGACUCCUACGGGAGGCAGCAGUGAGGAAUAUUGGUCAAUGGGCGAGAGCCUGAACCAGCCAAGUCGCGUGAAGGAUGACUGUCUUAUGGAUUGUAAACUUCUUUUAUACGGGAAUAACAAGAGUAACGUGUGGCUCCCUGCAUGUACCGUAUGAAUAAGCAUCGGCUAACUCCGUG